rnacentral:misc_RNA from 1 species
GAUGAAGAACGCAGCGAAAUGCGAUAAGUAGUGUGAAUUGCAGAAUUCAGUGAAUCAUCGAAUCUUUGAACGCACAUUGCGCCCUUUGGUAUUCCUUAGGGCAUGCCCGUUCGAGCGUCAUUUAAACCUUCAAGCUCAGCUUGGUGUUGGGUGACUGUCCGCUUCACCGCGGACUCGCCUCAAAAUUAUUGGCGGCCGGUACAUUGGCUUCGAGCGCAGCAGAAACGCGAACUCGGGCCCGUCGUAUUGGCUCCCAGAAGCUAUCUUCACAAUUUUGACCUCGGAUCAGGUAGGGAUACCCGCUGAACUUAAGCAUAUCAAUAAGCGGAGGA